rnacentral:rRNA from 1 species
CGAUACGAGUUUGAUCAUGGCUCAGAACGAACGCUGGCGGCAGGCCUAACACAUGCAAGUCGAGCGCCCCGCAAGGGGAGCGGCGGACGGGUGAGUAACGCGUGGGAACGUGCCUCUUGCUACGGAAUAGCCUCGGGAAACUGGGAGUAAUACCGUAUGUGCCCUACGGGGGAAAGAUUUAUCGGCAAGAGAUCGGCCCGCGUUGGAUUAGGUAGUUGGUGGGGUAAUGGCCUACCAAGCCGACGAUCCCAUAGCUGGUUUGAGAGGAUGAUCAGCCACACUGGGACUGAGACACGGCCCAGACUCCUACGGGAGGCAGCAGUGGGGAAUCUUAGACAAUGGGCGCAAGCCUGAUCUAGCCAUGCCGCGUGAGCGAUGAAGGCCUUAGGGUUGUAAAGCUCUUUCAGUGGGGAAGAUAAUGACUGUACCCACAGAAGAAGCCCCGGCUAACUCCGUG